rnacentral:rRNA from 1 species
GUGUCAGCAGCCGCGGUAAGACGAACCGUGCGAACGUUGUUCGGAUUCACUGGGCUUAAAGGGCGCGUAGGCGGGUGAUCGAGUCUGGGGUGAAAUCCUCUCGCUUAACGAGAGAACUGCCUUAGAUACUGGUCAUCUCGAGGAAGGUAGGGGCAUGUGGAACUUCCGAUGGAGCGGUGAAAUGCGUAGAUAUCGGAAGGAACGCCGGUGGCGAAAGCGACGUGCUGGACCUUUUCUGACGCUGAGGCGCGAAAGCCAGGGGAGCAAACGGGAUUAGAUACCCUCGUAGUCC